rnacentral:lncRNA from 1 species
CCUGCCCCUCCUACAGCUGAAGCCAAAGUGAAGGCUUCGAAGGCCAAGAAGGCAGUGUUGAAAGGUGUCCACAACCACAAAAAAAGAAAAAGAAAAAAAGAAAGAUCUGCCCGUCACCCACCUUCCAGCAGCCCAAGACACUGCGACUCCGGAGGCAGCCCAGAUAUCCUCGGAAGAGCGCCCCCAGGAGAAACAAGCUUAACCACUACACUAUCAAAUUUCCGCUGACCACUGAGUCGGCCAUGAAGAAGACAGAAGACAACAGCACGCUUGUGUUCACUGUGGAUGUUAAAGCCAACAAGCACCAGAUCAAACAGGCUGUGAAGAAGCUCUGUGACAUCGAUGUGGCCAAGGUCAACACCUGAUUCGGCCUGAUGGAGAGAAGGCAUAUAUUCAACUGCCUCCUGAUUACGAUGCUUUGGAUGUUGCCAAACUUUCAUCAUAU